rnacentral:lncRNA from 1 species
AAGCAUGUUUUAAUCUCAUUUUGAUCAAGAGUAUCUCAAUGCUUUGUUGCUUACUUCUCAAGAAAAGUCAAAGGUUCAUGUGUUUAUUUCCAUGCCUUCUUCAAUAAGUUACCUUAAACUUUGAGCAAUUUGAUUAAAAUACAUUCAAGUACACAUUAUUUUGAUUUCAUAUGAUCAUGCAUGUACCUUUAAAUGCAAGGAAAGUCCAAGUGCACAAGUUUAUUCCAAGAGGUUUGACCAAAAAAGUCAACAAUUGAAGUCAAAGUUCAAAGGAUCACAACUCCUUCAAUUCUCAGAAUUUUUGAAUGAUUCUUUUUUUCAUAUUAUUUUUCUCAAUAUACUCUAUAACUUCUCUUUACAUGACAAGGUCCAAUUAUGCAUAGAGGAUCAUCAAAAGUUUGGAGACAUUAUAGGUCAUUUGUGGACUUAGUGAAAUUUGACCUAUUUUCAAGUGACUUUUCUACACUUUCAAGGAUUAUAACUUCUUAGAUUUUCAAUAUUUGAGGCUGAUUAUUUUUUCACAAUAUCAUUUGUGAUGCACUCUACAACUUUUCUUCAAGGAUCAAAGUCAAAUUAUGCUUGGAAGGCCAUGGAUCCUUUGAGACAUUAUAGGUCAUUUUCAGUCAUUUGGGACUUAGAAUUUUCUAAGUUACAUUACCAGAUUUUCG